rnacentral:misc_RNA from 1 species
UGACGCGUUGCCCUGCUCUUUCUUCGAAUUAAGGCUCGUGGACUGCUUGUUCUCGUUACCUCUGUGACAUCUGUCAAGCAGACACUGACGAAGAAAUCUUACGUGCACCGAGAAGGCCCCGGGCUCCGUGGCAGCAGGUGGUGCGCGCGAUAUUUGUCCUCUGCACGGGCUCGCUCUGUACCGUGCACACACAAAUACAGGUGCUCGCAAACGUGCCGUCUGCCGUUUCCGAUCUUGCUUGAUUCUGUCAGCCCUGACGAGCACCUCAUCACGUCGCCACAGCUCUACACUUCGUUGUUGUCUUGACUUUAGAAUUCACGCACGACACAGCGUUGCACGCACGUCACGUCAUCCACGUUACGAAAUCUGGCAGUAAAGAAAGCGCAGAACGCGCCAAAAAUGAGCGAGACAGACAGCAUGUGGCUCCAGAAGAGCAUAACCCUACCUGACCCGAUCCCAGAAGAGGAGGACAGGGCAGACGCACCGACACCAGUGCUUGUCCCCGCUACUGCCCGCACGCUGCCAUCCACCAACACUGAGGCGUCGCCGCAGGAUGCCAUGCUGCCUCCGCCCCCGCCCGCCUUGGAGAAGAAGACCACCGCUGGAGUGGAGAUUGACUUGACGAAGAUGGUGCUGGAUACGAGCAGCUUCCUGCGCGCGUCUGCGCAGCGCCCGUCGAUGCGGUACCCGAGUCGGGCCUCUGUCUCCAACUCCGCGUUCAUCUCGGCGCAGGAGUACGACGACCUGCGUGCGCGCUACAGCCAGGCGAAGCGGGAGCUGCUGAAAGUGUCUGACAUUCAGAAGGACCUCGACUUUGCGCGUUUUGAGCUCACGCGCUCCCAGGAGGAGAUGAAGCUGCUGCAAGCGAGCAACCACAACCUCAAAAACGAGGUGGAGGAGUAUGCGCAGCGGGCCGAAAAGGAGCACAAGGCGCGCAUGUCUCUGGAGGCGAAGAUGUCGGCCGAGGGCGCCACUCGCGCGGAGGAGGUGGAGUUCUUGAAGAAGACAAUCGACGAACUGCGCGAGGAGAACGCAAAGCGACUCGAUUACAUGACACAGCAGCAGGAGGAUGAGUUUCAGGCGCGGCUGCAGUCCAUGCGGGAGGAGCUGGCAGGCGCGGCAGAGGAGCUGGCGCGGCUCACCGCGAAGGCGACGCAGGCAGAGAAGGCUCGCGAGCUGUCGGAGUCGAAGCUCACCACCGCACUUGCGGACUUGGAAAAGUCGCGUGCCGUGGUGGGCGAUUGCAAGGCGCGAAUUGAUGCCUUGCAGAAGGAGUGCCAUGCACUGGAGCAGCAGCACCGCGACUUUGUGCAGCAGCAGGAGCGACAGAAUGCGACGUACCUCGAGGAGCAAAAGGCUCUCAACGAGGAGCGCGUGCAUCAGGUGGCGGAGUCGAAAAAUGCGGCUAUCGCAGAGAUGCAAGAGGAGCUGCAUCUGUGGAAGGAGAGGACAAGGACAACGGCAGAGGAGCUAGCCGCGGCACGCCACGCGGCAAGCCAGCUCCAGGAAGACGUGAAACAGCUAACUGCGGAUCGUGCCAAGGAGGUGCGGCGCCUCACUGAGGAGCAUCGUCUUGCUCAGUGCGAGCUCCAACUCCAGAUGGAGGCGGCGGUCCGCGAGGCUCGGGGAAGCAAGACGUCCCUGGAGGAGGAGGCGCAGUCGCUACGUCGCCAGCUUGCGCAGGUGUCAACUGAGCUCUCAACCGUAGCUGGUGUGCUGGCGCAGCGGGAGCGGCAACUCGCCCAAGCAGAAGAGGAGCUUCUGCGCGCCAAAGACCGCUGCGUCGCGGCAGAGCAGGAAAACGCCCAGCUGGCGAGCGAUGCGCAGCUGAACGCUGAUGCGGCCGAGGAAGCUGCAGCGCGUGUGGAGCGACUAAUGAGGCAGAACUGCGACAUGGAGGAGGAGUUUUCGAAGGACCUCCGCGAGGCCAAGGAUCGCAUCCGCACCUUAGAGGCGACACUCAUGCAAAGCAAAGGCGAGCUCUCGGCGCUUCGCAAAGAGCAGAUCAAGUCUGCGGACGACGGCCUCGCCGCCACACGCGACCUUCGUGCGCAGGCAGAGGCACUGACGGAAGAGUGCACGGCGCUCAAAGCACAGGCAGGGGAGCGCCGCCGCUUUGAGGAAAUGGCGCGUGACUACUGCCAGCGCUUUGAGGCGGAGAGGACGAGGGUCGGCACGCUCGAAGCGGAGCUCAGCGCCGCCGUUGACAGGUGCGCCGCUCUGGAGGCGAAGCUGGAGGAGCUCUCGCGCCGCGUUAUUUCGCAGGCAGUGUCGCGCUCACCGAUGCAGACCCUGCACACCAACGCGACAGGCGCGUCGCUGUCCCGCCAUGGCAAGCACCGCAGUGUCUCCUCCGGUCAAUCGUACGCACCCACCGGCGGCAGUUCGAUGAAACGCGCCCGCACUGAGGACGCGCGCGUCUUCGCCAUCAGUGGGUUUGACGGAAACGACGUCCUGCUCGCCGUGAAGCAGCUCCCAAACGUGGCGAUAGCGGAGUGCAAGUCGAACAUGCCGGUGCCGUCCAACCUCACCCACCUCAUCACGAAUGGCCAGCUCACAAUCAAGCUUCUGACGGCGCUUGUGCGAGGCUGCUGGGUGCUGCCGGAGUCCUAUGUGGUGGACUCCCUGAAAGAGCAGACGUGGCUACGUGAAGAAGACUACGGCUUCCAGCACGAGGAACCGCCACUGCUGAAGAAGCGCAUCGCCCUCACGGAGGCGUUCAUGUCUUGUAAGCACUACAGCACCGCCAGUCUGUUGCUCAAGGAGGGCGGUGCGAUCCUCGUCGAUGACCCGGAGCAGGCGGACAUUCUUCUGUGCACCAACGCCGAGGCACGCAGCACCAAAAACGGGUGGAACUGGGAAAAGAUGGUGGAGAUAAUCUACCCGCUUAAGAUUCAGUAGCCACAGCGGACAAAGGCUGCGCACGGCGAUGGCACAUCUCCGCACCCUCAACACGGAGGUGUUUCGAGCGUCCCUAACAGACUCUCGUUUUGCAUCCUCGUGCCGCCCGUUUCCCCACAUGUGCCGAUGCGCAGCCAGCCCGUUUUUCAGGCAUACGCCGCGCCCGGCACACAUCAUUUAGAGUAUACUUCGAGAUUUUGUUUCUCCUCGACCAGAUUCUGUUUUCCUAGAUUCGGUUUCCGCCACACCUCGCUCACAAGUGCGGACACAUGCAUGCAAUCAUCCUGGCCGGCAUCCGGGUGGCUGUCGCCUUGUCAUUGACACGCCCUGCAUCCGUUGGCCGCUUACCUAUCCGUGUAUGUUCGCGCAUUUGCUUUGCUGCGCUUGUGAUUUUCAUACACUACAGUAGAUGUCCUUAUUUUCCCAUGCCCUUGCGUCUGUAUCUGUCUGGAUGCGCCGUCGAGCUAUCACCGCUGGCAUGGUCUCUUUCUUUUUUUUUUCUUUGUGGUCAUCUCUCCUUCGUUGGUGCAGCGGCAAAGAGGAAGGAACGCAGCCGGGGCGAUGCCGAUGGCGGGUCGCCGCUGCGCGCGCUUUCUCCUCAGCCUUUGCCCUUGCCAUGCAUGGGAGUUGCUGUGAGUGGACCACUACCGAUCGCCCAAGCAGCCGUUCCCAGAAAAACGCUGCCAUCAGUCACGCCACAGUGCACUCCACGCGAUAUACUCCACAGUUGACUACACAAACACACCCACACACGCGCACGAAGAUGUGCUAGCCGUAAGUCUGCCAUGAGCUCCUUUUGAGGUUUAUGUUUUACCCUUUUCUACACAUGUUGCUGUCGCUAGGCGCGUCAGCACCUUGCGCCGAAGCACGCGCACACACACGUGCACCAAUACUCACCGUAGGUGCACGUGGACGGAAACCCCGCGUGCGUUUCACAUCGACGCUGCGAAGCAGCAUUGCAUCGUUUAGGGUCGACUCUGUGAUGACUCGGCCACGCAAGCGCCCCAGAGAAGAGGGAAUCUUCUCUUGUUCUCCAGGAAAAGCUGAAAGCCACCGCUGCUGUGGGGACGGGGAGGAGCUGUGCACGCACGCUUUGCU